rnacentral:rRNA from 1 species
ACGGGAGGCAGCAGUGAGGAAUAUUGGUCAAUGGACGGAAGUCUGAACCAGCCAAGUCGCGUGAAGGAUGAAGGUAUUAUGUAUUGUAAACUUCUUUAGCAGUGGAGUAAUAAGGGGAUCGCGAUCCCUGAUGCAAGUACACUGAGAAUAAGGAUCGGCUAACUCCGUGCCAGCAGCCGCGGUAAUACGGAAGAUGCGAGCGUUAUCCGGAUUUAUUGGGUUUAAAGGGAGCGUAGGCGGCCUGUUAAGUCCGCGGUCAAAUGUCAGGGCCCAACCUUGGCAUGCCGUGGAUACUGGCGGGCUUGAAUGUGCACAAGGAAGGUGGAAUUCGUCGUGUAGCGGUGAAAUGCUUAGAUAUGACGAAGAACUCCGAUUGCGAAGGCAGCCUUCUGGGGCAUGAUUGACGCUGAGGCUCGAAAGUGCGGGAAUCAAACAGGAUUAGAUACCCUGGUA